AAGCGCCCAAAAACCGUCUGCUUUCUUCUUAUACAUUCACUUUGGUCGCCAUGCCUUCAACAGGAAAAUAGGCAGUUUAUUCAAGGAAAAAUUCCCUAAGCGGUGUUUGUGGUGGGCAUUGCCAAUAGCGGUGUCACUUUCUGGGGAUGCUUCUGGCGCCUGUUCGCGUCUGUUCGCGGAUAUUCAACAUAAUACAGAAAUUCAAAACAAGAAAUGAAGCAAUUCAAGUGUAGAAAUCUUAUUCUAAACAUGAUCAGAGAUUUCAUAGCAUGUGAAACUUAUUGGAUGCGAAAACUGCAAAAAAAAAAAAUUAUGAAAUAGGAUUUGAUGCAAGUGUGGGUUUUCUGGGAUUAAUGGGUUUCUGUCAUCCCGAAAAGUGAUUGCCCUGCAUUCUAAACAAGCUAACCAUUGGCUUGUGUAAACCUAAUGGAAAGAACAAGCAACAGUGUGGAGAAAAAGUUUGUUUUAAAGGAUGUGAGAGCAGUAACAAAAUGCCAUACCCAGAGGAUUGUGUUAUUGUCAAUAAAAUGGAUAUUCUCCAUAUGAUUGCAUUCCUAGGGUACGGAUUCCCUAGCGACUAAAGUUAAACAAUUAUCAGAGAGACAUCGUGGCAUUUUUCUGGAACCCGUGUGUUUCUUAAUGAUGGAAGUUUGUAUCACAUAUGUAUAAUGAUCAUUUGGUUCCCAGGUGUCAUCCCCAUCCACUUCCAUGGCAACCUUGAAGUGAAAGCUACAGCCUAACAAAUGUCCUAUGAUCUUCGUUGGUUUGUGUUGAUGACCUUGGUCUUCCCCCUUAAAACUGUGGCCGUUCACAGAUGCUUAGUCAGUCUGCUUUUAGAAAUUGAGCGGGUUAGUCUUACCGACGAACACCAGAACUUCAUACCUACUAUUUUUAUUUAUCUUUUUGUAGCAACAAUAGUAAAUAGGUUGGAUGAACUCAUAUCUGUUCUUCCAACCUAUUGACUACUGAUGAUGUACAACAAGAUACAUGAAAUUUUUCCUCUUCGAGAAGAGGUGUACUAAAUUAGAUUUUUCGAAGAAAUUCAUGCCUUCUUAUGCGUGAAUUUUCAAAAUGAGGCUGUUUUUCACCGAAUUUGCUUACAAAAUUAGACCAAAAAGUUCCCCACAUAGUGCCAUGCCUAAGUUCGAAAGUUACUUGAACCAAAACGGCAUUGGCUGGUCUCACCAAGAUAAAAUACAAUAUCGAUGUAAAGUGUCUUUAACAAACCGAUACCUUGCAAGAGCGUUAAGAAAUUUAGAUUUCAAAGCUGUAGAAAGUUUCGACAAAUUUGGGAUGCAAUUGCCACACUCGAAACCAUCUGAAGCUAACAUUUUUAUAAAAUGUCAGAUCGUCGACGAAUUUUUUUAGGAUUUACCAUUUCAAACGGAAAUGACUUUUGAAAUGUCUUUGGAUUAAAAACGGCGUAAACCGGUCUCAUCAAGAUAGGACAAAUGUCUUACGGUUAAAAGUUUAUGAACACAUCGAUACCCGUACAUUGCUAUCGAGCCAAAAUAUAACUUUAAAUCGUUAACGUAGCAACGUUCAAACGAAAAUAGGGAUGGGGCAAAAAAACAAAAGGGACAACAAAAGGAAUGAAACAGACGAUUUCAUAAAGGAAAAAAUUUAUAACAUUUAAACAUGCAAAACUAUUUUAAGUGGAUACCUUAAAGAUGAAGCUUUUGUAGCGAAAUAUUUUGUUGGAAAUCGAUUCAUUGCAAUAGAUUGCAAUGAUGAAGCCGAUGGAAUCAACAGGAACAAUUGUUAUUUGUUUUUGACCAAAAUCUUAUGUGUCGUACGUUAGGUAGUGAAAGCGAUUCGCCUGAGGAACGACUUGAAAUAUGUAAAACAGUGGUGGAAUUGUGGAAA